UCGAGCGGACAGAUGGGAGCUUGCUCCCUGAUGUUAGCGGCGGACGGGUGAGUAACACGUGGGUAACCUGCCUGUAAGACUGGGAUAACUCCGGGAAACCGGGGCUAAUACCGGAUGGUUGUUUGAACCGCAUGGUUCAGACAUAAAAGGUGGCUUCGGCUACCACUUACAGAUGGACCCGCGGCGCAUUAGCUAGUUGGUGAGGUAACGGCUCACCAAGGCAACGAUGCGUAGCCGACCUGAGAGGGUGAUCGGCCACACUGGGACUGAGACACGGCCCAGACUCCUACGGGAGGCAGCAGUAGGGAAUCUUCCGCAAUGGACGAAAGUCUGACGGAGCAACGCCGCGUGAGUGAUGAAGGUUUUCGGAUCGUAAAGCUCUGUUGUUAGGGAAGAACAAGUGCCGUUCAAAUAGGGCGGCACCUUGACGGUACCUAACCAGAAAGCCACGGCUAACUACGUGCCAGCAGCCGCGGUAAUACGUAGGUGGCAAGCGUUGUCCGGAAUUAUUGGGCGUAAAGGGCUCGCAGGCGGUUUCUUAAGUCUGAUGUGAAAGCCCCCGGCUCAACCGGGGAGGGUCAUUGGAAACUGGGGAACUUGAGUGCAGAAGAGGAGAGUGGAAUUCCACGUGUAGCGGUGAAAUGCGUAGAGAUGUGGAGGAACACCAGUGGCGAAGGCGACUCUCUGGUCUGUAACUGACGCUCAGGAGCGAAAGCGUGGGGAGCGAACAGGAUUAGAUACCCUGGUAGUCCAC
rnacentral:rRNA from 1 species